rnacentral:rRNA from 1 species
GACGAACGCUGGCGGCGUGCUUAACACAUGCAAGUCGAACGGAAAGGCCCUGCUUUUGUGGGGUGCUCGAGUGGCGAACGGGUGAGUAACACGUGAGUAACCUGCCCUUGACUUUGGGAUAACUUCAGGAAACUGGGGCUAAUACCGGAUAGGAGCUCCUGCUGCAUGGGGGGGGUUGGAAAGUUUCGGCGGUUGGGGAUGGACUCGCGGCUUAUCAGCUUGUUGGUGGGGUAGUGGCUUACCAAGGCCUUGACGGGUAGCCGGCCUGAGAGGGUGACCGGCCACAUUGGGACUGCGAUACGGCCCAGACUCCUACGGGAGGCAGCAGUGGGGAAUAUUGCACAAUGGGCGGAAGCCUGAUGCAGCAACGCCGCGUGCGGGAUGACGGCCUUCGGGUUGUAAACCGCUUUCGCCUGUGACGAAGCGUGAGUGACGGUAAUGGGUAAAGAAGCACCGGCUAACUACGUG